rnacentral:rRNA from 1 species
UACGUAGGGUGCAAGCGUUGUCCGGAAUUAUUGGGCGUAAAGAGCUCGUAGGCGGUUUGUCGCGUCUGCUGUGAAAUCUUAGGGCUUAACCCUGAGCUUGCAGUGGGUACGGGGCAGACUAGAGUGCGGUAGGGGGAGACUGGAAUUCCUGGUGUAGCGGUGAAAUGCGUAGAUAUCGUAAGGAAGACCAGUGGGCGAAAGG